rnacentral:misc_RNA from 1 species
GGCUUUAUGAUUAUUGUAUCCUGUAAAACACGAUAAAUAGGCAUGUUAUUCAUGGUGGAAAAAAGCCGCACCAUAUAAAUUUUUAAGAAGAAAUUACCCAAAGAAAACUAAAACUGUCUGAUCUAAAUUGGACAUUCAAAGAAGUAAUGUCUCCUAAUAGAAGUCAGCAGCUACAAACCUAAAAACCAAAGUGCUCCACCAGGCACCAGGAAGAAAGAAAAAUAUAGAGUCAAAAAUCAAAGAACCUGCAAUUUAGUCUGAAAACAGCCAUAAAAGAUAAAGCUUUAUAGAGCGAAAACAAACACAUAUGGGAAUUUAGGACAAAUAAGCUAAAAAUAAGCUUAGGAAUCUAAUGCAAAACAGAACAGAACCCAGAUCAGAAUAUGCAAAGCGCUGCGCCAAGCAUUAUUCUACACACCCACCUGGCCUUAUCUUCCAUAACUCAUCAAUCUAUCACAAAACCGGAACAAAAAUAGAAAAGGA